CUGAACUGUUCUUCUAAAGUCACGUGCAAAAAAAGUAGGUCACUCUUGUGGGGGCGGGGCUUAAGUCAGAGGAGGGUCAACAUGGUGGAUCAGGGAGGAAAAAUUGUCGCCCUGUGGAUGUCGAUUUGGACGGCGACGUCCAUCAGGACCUUCAGAGUUUGGGUUUUCUUUGAAGCAGUUAUGGAAGUGAAUCUACCUGCUGGGGGGCGUUGAUGACUCCCAGGCUGUAGCCGAACUGCAGGGACCCUAAAGCAGCGGUGAACACGGCCACGAUCAGAGUGCCCGUUAUCUAGUGCGGAGGAAAGACACAGAGAGGACGCCGCCGACUGACAGAAAGAAUCGGUUGAUAUUGCUCUUCGUGGGUUCGACCAUCACUUUGGUGGCGAGUGACAGGUGGCUUUACAGCUCAAAUGUACUGUGUGGUUGAGGCCGGCGAGGAGGAAAGGAGACGCAGUCCGGGGAAGAUCUUGUCGCUUGACUGUGACCCACAGUCUUUCGCUUUUAAUUCAUCAUUGACCUUGAGCACAUCCUUUCAUAAUCGACAUAUAAAACUUGAAGAAAUGAAAUCAGCGGCGAAUAAUCUGCACCUUCAGAUCGGAGGAUUUAAAGGAGCUGAAGGCUCCAGGAUCACACCUCUGGCUCUGACUCCAGUCAGACUCUACACUUGCCAUGAGUUGGUCGAGACAGACACACACACACAGUGCGCACAGACACACACUUUGUACAGUCAAAGACAGAAGAAAAGAAGCCGACACACAGACACUUCUACUGACACACACCCCCAGAACAGUUAAGUUGUUGCAGCACCAUCAGUGAUGACUGAGUGAGAGAAAGAGAGAGAGAGUGGGAGGUCCGAGUGCGCGGACGAGUCCAGAACACACAGAUGAUUCUAUGAUACCCGGAUCUUUGUCUGGGUCAGAGAAGGAAUCCCAUCUGUUUCAGGGUCAUUUUCCUUAACAAAAAAUGUUUUAUUUCUGAACUUGCUAGGUCUAUAAUGAUUUUUUUCUGAAUAUUAACAAAGACCAUACAAAAAAUUAACUGAGAAAUUUGCUGUAAACCAAAUGAUUGAAUGAAAAAUAUAAGACAAAAAACGUUUUUUACUUGAAAAUUUGCCACAGAAAUGGUCAAAUAAAUAUUUAAAUUGAUGAUAUUGAUCAUAUGUUGGCUGAGAAAAUGUCUCCUGGAUAUCAAGAUGCGUGAACUAUCAUUAUGUAUAAAUAAAUAAUUGAAUCGAUUUUAUUUUGGCCUCUGAACAAAAAUCCUAAUCCAACAAAUGAACUUUUGAUUCAACUCAUUGUCGUCCCUCCUUGUUGUGGACCAUCUUUGAACUCAGAAACGGGGCAUUUCAUGUGGUAAAGUUGGGAAAAGAUCAGUUAAAUGCUGGGCACCUCUGUUUUAAGGAAUUCAGUAGACGGAUUAUCUCACAAGGAAAACAUUAGUUUUUCAGUCAGAACCCCGUCCUAAGUAAGUGAAAAGGUUCUACUGUUGCUUCAUAUCAGCAGGUGUGUUAAAGGUGUGUUGGAAAGGCAGAGAAAGAGGAGGCGAGAGGGAAAACCACGAGGAAAGUCAGAGGUCGUGUUACGACUAUCACAGCUGACGUCUGAAGGAAGCUGGCUUGGCGCCGAUGGCUGAUUUCCCCUCCCUCGUCGUCUCUCUUCGGUCUGGAUGUGGCGAUGGUUGUCACGGCCCGGGACCUGGUGCCGGGUGCCGGGUGGGGCAGUCCGGACAUCACCAGUUCAUCAUAGAGUUUCUGUUGAGGGUCAUGAAGAAGACUUGACUGCUACCCCCCGAACGCACCGAGGCAAAGAAGACCUGCAGAGAGAGAACGAUUUGAGUAGUUAGUGCCCAUCAUUGAUAGAUUCAAGAAGUGAACCACACAGAGAUGUCAGGACUGAAAGACUAAGGAGUCUGUGACUCGCCUGCCUGUGAGGCCAAACUGAGAUGAUGAAUUUGACCUGGUCUUCAUAUUCACAGCUACAGACAUUCACAGCUAGACUUUGAUUUUUCAGCUUGUCUGUGAGUUGAAAGGAGCAAUAUCCAGGGGGUUUUAGCUGGUGUGGUAGGACUGAGCCACCGAGUGGUCUCUCUCUCUCUCACUGACUGGUUUGUGUAGAAAAUGUGAAACUACAGUCGGUAAUCAUCUUUCAAACGAAAAUAACAUUACUUUUUGACUCAUUUUGAAAGUGAAUAAACACUGUACAGCGCCCUCUCUCUUCGUCUGGCUCCCUUAAUUUACCAUCUCGAUAUACCUGUUCAUACUUCACAGGAAACUGUCUGCUUUCCUAGAUCGUUCUGGAAUUACUGUACUGAGAAUCCAACCUCACUGAAGACGUGGUCGUGCUGAUUCUGGCCCGUGUUUGGGAGCUGUGACUGCAGGAAGAGACUUUUGCGGGGUGAUUUAAAACAUCAAAUCCAGUCAGCAGCUACAGGACGUCAGUGAAGGCUAAAUAAAGUCCCUGAACUAGUCUCAGCCCCCCGUGUGUCUGUGCUCUCCUUGAGAGUGCGUCUGGCGUUCUCGUGACCCUCAGCUGUGAUGGUGGAUUUAAUAAUGCUGGACCUUCAGUGCAUCCAUC